UGGGGAAUUUUGGACAAUGGGCGAAAGCCUGAUCCAGCAAUGCCGCGUGUGUGAAGAAGGCCUUCGGGUUGUAAAGCACUUUUGUCCGGAAAGAAAUCCUUGGCUCUAGUACAGCUCGGGGGGAUGACGGUACCGGAAGAAUAAGCACCGGCUAACUACGUGCCAGCAGCCGCGGUAAUACGUAGGGUGCAAGCGUUAAUCGGAAUUACUGGGCGUAAAGCGUGCGCAGGCGGUUUGCUAAGACCGAUGUGAAAUCCCCGGGCUCAACCUGGGAACUGCAUUGGUGACUGGCAGGCUAGAGUAUGGCAGAGGGGGGUAGAAUUCCACGUGUAGCAGUGAAAUGCGUAGAGAUGUGGAGGAAUACCGAUGGCGAAGGCAGCCCCCUGGGCCAAUACUGACGCUCAUGCACGAAAGCGUGGGGAGCAAACAGGAUUAGAUACCCUGGUAGUCCACGCCCUAAACGAUGUCAACUAGUUGUUGGGGAUUCAUUUCCUUAGUAACGUAGCUAACGCGUGAAGUUGACCGCCUGGGGAGUACGGUCGCAAGAUUAAAAC
rnacentral:rRNA from 1 species